rnacentral:rRNA from 1 species
AUGCUUAGUAGCGGCGAGUGAGCGGCAAAAGCUCAAAUUUGAAAUCUGGCGCCUUCGGUGUCCGAGUUGUAAUUUGAAGAUUGUAACCUUGGGGUUGGCUCUUGUCUAUGUUUCUUGGAACAGGACGUCACAGAGGGUGAGAAUCCCGUGCGAUGAGAUGCCCAAUUCUAUGUAAGGUGCUUUCGAAGAGUCGAGUUGUUUGGGAAUGCAGCUCUAAGUGGGUGGUAAAUUCCAUCUAAAGCUAAAUAUUGGCGAGAGACCGAUAGCGAACAAGUACAGUGAUGGAAAGAUGAAAAGAACUUUGAAAAGAGAGUGAAAAAGUACGUGAAAUUGUUGAAAGGGAAGGGUUUGAGAUCAGACUCGAUAUUUUGUGAGCCUUGCCUUCGUGGCGGGGUGACCCGCAGCUUAUCGGGCCAGCAUCGGUUUGGGCGGUAGGAUAAUGGCGUAGGAAUGUGACUUUACUUCGGUGAAGUGUUAUAGCCUGCGUUGAUGCUGCCUGCCUAGACCGAGGACUGCGAUUUUAUCAAGGAUGCUGGCAUAAUGAUCCCAAACCGCCCGUCUUGAAACACGGACCAAAAAUAUUUUGUGAUUCUUGUCUACUCGGUGGGGUGACCCGCAGCUUAUCAGCCCUGCACCGGCUGGGGGGGCGCCACCCUGACGUAUGAGUCCUUCUCUCUUACUUGAGUGAGACCUUCACUCCCCCCUUGCUGAGACCCCCCUCCUUCUUCUUCCUGCCAGGUUCGCCCCGAGGGCCGUCCUCCUCCCCCUACAAUCUCCCCCUUGACA